CUUCUUCCUGGGCAGCCACUGCACACGUGAGCCUGAGGGUAGCUGUGUUCCAGCUUUGCACAGAAAGCAGGUUUGGGAGAAUGAAGCCAGAGGCCAAGGAGAGAAUGCGGAAUCCUGGAGUGUUGAAGGCCCUUGUUUUGAUUCCUCGCGUCCUCCAGUGUGAGUGAGUUCACUUUCUAGGACAUGCAUUCAAAGAACUCCCACUGAGGGGCCAGCAGGAAUUAGUUUCUGAGGCAGCAACUAGGGGCAGCAGUUGCACACAGGUUGUUGUUUUUUUUUUUGAAGCUGUAGAAGAGGAAAGCCUCUGUGGACGAUAUGCAGAAAGGUAUCUUUCUCUGCGCCAGACCUCUUUAUGAUGCAAAUGACAGAAAAUCCCAGCUUAAACUGGUUUAGACAAUAAAGCAAGUUUAAAAGCUAAGGUAGGGCAAGGCACGGUGGCUCAUGCCUGUAAUCCCAGCACUUUGGGAGGCCAAGGCAGUUGGAUCACUUGAGGUGAGGAGUUCGCCGACAUGGUGAAACCCUGUUUCUACUAAAAAUACAAAAAUUAGCUGGGUGUGGUGGCAUACGCCUGUAGUCCCAGCUAUUUGGGAGGCUGAGGGAUGAGAAUUGCUUGAACCUGAGAGGUAGAGGUUGCAGUGAGCCGAAAUUGUGCCACUGCACUCCAGCCUAGGUGAUAGAAUGAGACUGUCUCAAAAAAAAAAAAAAAAAAAAAGCUAAUGUAAUUUAGAAGUCUAGAGACAGUCUACCUUCAGGUGAUGCUUGACCCAGGCUCUAUUGAUGUCCCUGAACGAAUUUCUUCACCCCUCUAAUCUGCCUUCCUCAGUUUUCGCAGAAUGACCUUGAGAAACUUUAGGCUUCUCUUAUUGCAGCAGCAUGCCUCAGUUUCAGAUCUUCAGAGAAAAAGGGUUUUACCCCACCCCCAUGGAUUUUGCACAGUGCAGAGAUGUGCUUUUCCUUGAUGACCGAGGCUGGGGCAGAUGCCCAGUUUUGAUUAAAACACUGGCUGGGGGAGGGUGCUGUGUUGCAGCGAGGGGCUAAGCAAUCCUCUCCCAGUUCCAUGGCAGAGAAGGGAGGAGAAAGGAUUCUCUAAAGGCAAAUCAGAAUACUGUUGGGGAGAGAAGCAGGAAAUGGAGACAGUAGAUGUAGUGAUGUGGCAGGUCAGGUCUCACUAAUGCAGGCCUCCAUGACAACUGUUUCGUACUGACUGAGUAGUUAAGUUAAAUAUUAAAAGUGGAAAGAGUCAGUGUCCUUAUACAAAGACUGGAAUGUAACAAAAGCCCACCAAGAGUUUUGCCUAGGUCUUUCCUGGGCUUUAAAACAUGACAAAAUAACAAAAGAAUUCUUAACAGGACCCAUUUAGGAUGAAACAAGUUUUAUUGAGGGUCUGAAGAAACUCCCCAGGCUUCCACAAACAAGUUUACUGGGGGUGUAAAGGAAUUCCCCAAACCUUUAUGAUUUAGCAGGAGACAAGAUAAGGAUAAUCACUUCAGCACCUGGGCCCAUUUAGA
rnacentral:lncRNA from 1 species